AAGUCGUAACAAAGCAACCGUAGGUGAACCUGCGGUUGGAUCAUUAAAAAUUUUUGGUUCUCGUAACCAUCACCUUAUGUGCUGCAAUUGCCGUCCCUUUUGGGAGGUCUGUGCUGGAGAGGGGGAGGUUUUUCCCUUCCUCGUUCCACCGCUCCCAAUGUUUUUUUGUUAACCAACCUGUUGCUCUUGUAUUUAUCUUAUUUUUCCAUAUGUCACACUUUGUGAAUGUAUGAAAACAACUUUUAACAACGGAUCUCUUGGCUGUC
rnacentral:misc_RNA from 1 species